rnacentral:tRNA from 1 species
GCGCAUGUAGCUCAGCUGGAUAGAGUACUUGGCUACGAACCAGGCGGUCGGCGGUUCGACUCCGUCCAUGCGCACCA